UGCGUAGGCGGAUUAAUAAGUCAGUGGUGAAAUCUUUCGGCUCAACCGAGAAACUGCCAUUGAUACUGUUGAUCUUGAGUUCGGUUGAGGUAGGCGGAAUGUGUAAUGUAGCGGUGAAAUGCUUAGAUAUUACACAGAACACCAAUUGCGUAGGCAGCUUACUAGACCGACACUGACGCUGAGGUACGAAAGCGUGGGUAGCGAACAGGAUUAGAUACCCUGGUAGUCC
rnacentral:rRNA from 1 species